AUUGAACGCUGGCGGCAGGCUUAACACAUGCAAGUCGAGCGGAGCGAGGGUGCUUGCACCUUAGCUUAGCGGCGGACGGGUGAGUAAUGCUUAGGAAUCUGCCUAUUAGUGGGGGACAACAUUCCGAAAGGAAUGCUAAUACCGCAUACGCCCUACGGGGGAAAGCAGGGGAUCUUCGGACCUUGCGCUAAUAGAUGAGCCUAAGUCGGAUUAGCUAGUUGGUGGGGUAAGGCCUACCAAGGCGACGAUCUGUAGCGGGUCUGAGAGGAUGAUCCGCCACACUGUGACGGAGACCCGGCCGAGACUCCUACGGGAGGCAGCAGUGGGGAAUAUGGGACAAUGGGGGGAACCCUGAUCCAGCCAUCCAGCGUGUGUGAGGAAGGCCUUAUGUUUGUAAAGCACUUUAAGCGAGGAGGAGGCUACUCUAGUUAAUACCUAGGGAUAGUGGACGUUACUCGCAGAAUAAGCACCGGCUAACUCUGUGCCAGCAGCCGCCGUAA
rnacentral:rRNA from 1 species